rnacentral:rRNA from 1 species
ACUCCUACAACCCAUUGAGCUACUCUAUACAAUAGAAGAACGCCUGCUAAAACUAGUAACAAGAAAACACUUCUCUACAACACACCCGUGCCUCGGCCAUAGAACACCUCCCGACAAUUAACAGACUAAAACUGCAAACUAACACAAAGUUAUCCAAACUGUCACCCCGACACAGGGGUGUAAACAAGAAAGAUUAAAAGCCACAGAAGGAACUCAGCAAAAUAUUGACCCAACUGUUUACCAAAAACAUAGCCUUUAGCAAUACAAGUAUUAAAGGUAUCGCCUGCCCAGUGAAAUUUUAACGGCCGCGGUAUUCUAACCGUGCAAAGGUAGCGAAAUCAUUUGUCUUUUAAAUAAAGACCAGUAUGAAUGGCUAAAUGAGGUCAAACCUGUCUCCUGUGACCAAUCAGUGAAACUGAUCUCUCCAGUACAAAAGCUGGAAUGAACCCAUAAGACGAGAAGACCCUGUGGAGCUUAAAAUUUACCAUUAAUAGCCAAGAAACAUAGCUAUCUAAUACAAAAUUUUAAGUUGGGGCGACUUCGGAAUAAAGAAAAACUUCCGAGCACAGAACCAACCGUUCAAACACAGGCCCACAAGCCAAAUAAAUGCCGACCCAGUCCAACUGAUCAACGAACCAAGUUACCCCAGGGAUAACAGCGCCAUCUUCUUCUAGAGUCCAUAUCGAAAAGAAGGUUUACGACCUCGAUGUUGGAUCAGGACACCCCAAUGGUGCAGCUGCUAUUAACGGUUCGUUUGUUCAACGAUUAACAGU